rnacentral:rRNA from 1 species
CCUACGGGUGGCAGCAGUGAGGAAUAUUGGUCAAUGGGCGCGAGCCUGAACCAGCCAAGUAGCGUGAAGGAUGACUGCCCUACGGGUUGUAAACUUCUUUUAUAAAGGAAUAAAGUGAGGCACGUGUGCCUUUUUGUCUGUACUUUAUGCAUAAGGAUCGGCUAACUCCGUGCCAGCAGCCGCGGUAAUACGGAGGAUCCGAUCGUUAUCCGGAUUUAUUGGGUUUAAAGGGAGCGUAGAUGGGUUGUUAAGUCAGUUGUGAAAGUUUGCGGCUCAACCGUAAAAUUGCAAUUGAUACUGGCAGUCUUGAGUACAGUUGAGGUAGGUGGAAUUCGUGGUGUAGCGGUGAAAUGCGUAGAUAUCACGAAGAACUCCGAUUGCGAAGGCAGCUUACUAAACUGCCACUGACAUUGAUGCUCGAAAGUGUGGGGAGCAAACAGGAUUAGAUACCCGAGUAGUC